rnacentral:rRNA from 1 species
UACAGAGGUGGCAAGCGUUGUUCGGAAUUACUGGGCGUAAAGGGCGCGUAGGCGGCCUUCUAAGUCGGACGUGAAAUCCCCAGGCUUAACUUGGGAACUGCGUCCGAUACUGGAGGGCUUGAGUGCGGGAGAGGGAUGUGGAGUUCCAGGUGCAGCGGUGAAAUGCGUAGAUAUCUGGAGGAACACCGGUGGCGAAGGCGGCAUCCUGGACCGACACUGACGCUGAUGCGCGAAAGCCAGGGGAGCAAACGGG